rnacentral:rRNA from 1 species
UUAGNUAGUUGGUGGGGUAAGGGCGCACCAAGGCGACGAUCAGUAGCUGGUCUGAGAGGAUGAUCAGCCACACUGGGACUGAGACACGGCCCAGACUCCUACGGGAGGCAGCAGUGGGGAAUUUUCCGCAAUGGGCGAAAGCCUGACGGAGCAACGCCGCGUGAGGGAUGAAGGCCUCUGGGCUGUAAACCUCUUUUUUCAAGGAAGAAGAUCUGACGGUACUUGAUGAAUAAGCCACGGCUAAUUCCGUGCCAGCAGCCGCGGUAAUACGGGAGUGGNAAGCGUUAUCCNGAAUUAUUGGGCGUAAAGCGUCCGA